UACGUAGGCAGCAAGCGUUGUUCGGAGUUACUGGGCGUAAAGGGCGCGUAGGCGGCUUUUUAAGUUUGGUGUGAAAUCUCCCGGCUCAACUGGGAGGGUGCGCCGAAUACUGAGAGGCUAGAGUGUGGGAGAGGAAAGUGGAAUUCCUGGUGUAGCGGUGAAAUGCGUAGAUAUCAGGAGGAACACCGGUGGUGUAAGCGGCUUUCUGGACCAUAACUGACGCUGAUGCACGAAAGCGUGGGUAGCAAACAGG
rnacentral:rRNA from 1 species